rnacentral:rRNA from 1 species
GAUGAACGCUGGCGGCGUGCCUAAUACAUGCAAGUCGAGCGAACAGACGAGGAGCUUGCUCCUCUGACGUUAGCGGCGGACGGGUGAGUAACACGUGGAUAACCUACCUAUAGGACUGGGAUAACUUCGGGAAACCGGUGCUAAUACCGGAUAAUAUAUUGAACCGCAUGGUUCAAUAGUGAAAGACGCUUUUGCUGUCACUUAUAGAUGGAUCCGCGCCGCAUUAGCUAGUUGGUAAGGUAACGGCUUACCAAGGCAACGAUGCGUAGCCGACCUGAGAGGGUGAUCGGCCACACUGGAACUGAGACACGGUCCAGACUCCUACGGGAGGCAGCAGUAGGGAAUCUUCCGCAAUGGGCGAAAGCUUGACGGAGCAACGCCGCGUGAGUGAUGAAGGUCUUCGGAUCGUAAAACUCUGUUAUUAGGGAAGAACAAAUGUGUAAGUAACUAUGCACGUCUUGACGGUACCUAAUCAGAAAGCCACGGCUAACUACGUG